UCCAACCCCAGAGAAGAGCA
rnacentral:tRNA from 1 species